rnacentral:rRNA from 1 species
UACGUAGGGGCCUAGCGUUGUCCGGAUUUAUUGGGCGUAAAGAGCUUGUAGGCGGUCUGUCGCGUCUGCUGUGAAAAUCCGGGGCUCAACCCCGGACUUGCAGUGGGUACGGGCAGACUAGAGUGUGGUAGGGGAGACUGGAAUUCCUGGUGUAGCGGUGAAAUGCGCAGAUAUCAGGAGGAACACCGGUGGCGAAGGCGGGUCUCUGGGCCGAUACUGACGCUGAGGAGCGAAAGCGUGGGGAGCGAACAGG